rnacentral:rRNA from 1 species
AUUGAACGCUGGCGGCAGGCCUAACACAUGCAAGUCGAACGGUAACAGGAAGAAGCUUGCUUCUUUGCUGACGAGUGGCGGACGGGUGAGUAAUGUCUGGGAAACUGCCUGAUGGAGGGGGAUAACUACUGGAAACGGUAGCUAAUACCGCAUAACGUCGCAAGACCAAAAAGGGGGACCUUCGGGCCUCUUGCCAUCGGAUGUGCCCAGAUGGGAUUAGCUAGUAGGUGGGGUAACGGCUCACCUAGGCGACGAUCCCUAGCUGGUCUGAGAGGAUGACCAGCCACACUGGAACUGAGACACGGUCCAGACUCCUACGGGAGGCAGCAGUGGGGAAUAUUGCACAAUGGGCGCAAGCCUGAUGCAGCCAUGCCGCGUGUAUGAAGAAGGCCUUCGGGUUGUAAAGUACUUUCAGCGGGGAGGAAGGGAGUAAAGUUAAUACCUUUGCUCAUUGACGUUACCCGCAGAAGAAGCACCGGCUAAGUCCGUG